rnacentral:lncRNA from 1 species
GGUAGAACUGUGGUUUCAUUUUCUUUUGUUUAAACAUUUUCAGUUUGUCUUUACCAUCUGUAAUUUUAUUUUAUGUACCUGAAAAUUCCUACACAGAGUUUCUGUCUCACUUUCAAUAGUGUCUUAUAUGCCACCAGAGCAGGAUAAUUCUUACAUGUUUGCAGCAGCUUGAUGUUUUGCUUAUUGCAUUAUGCUGUGAUCACUUUAGGACUGCAGAUUACUUUUCAGCUUGUCAUUUUUGUAUAAAUUUAACAAACAAAUUGUUCAUUUUAAUCUUAUAAUGUAAAAAUUUCAGAGUAAAAAUAAAACAAUAUUAUACAAAUGAAGUUACUGUUAUCUUGGUACUUCAAAUUGGUGUCAUACUGUUGAAUGUGAAAUACCAAAAGCCUGUACUGGAAUCACUACAUUGCUAAUAAUAUAUUAGUUCUUAUGUUUUAAAAUACUGGUAUUCAUACUUGAUGGAUUUUGUAAGUGAGAUACUAUAUGUUCAGUGCUUCAAAUUUACAUGAUGUUCUGUAAUAUUCUGUAAUUUAAUUAUCAUAACCCUAUUGUAAAGUAAUAAAAUUGCUAAGGUAAUAAAGUUGCUUAUUAGGGGAA